UAGGUGACCUGCGGAAGGAUCAUUACCGAAUCCGUUUCAACCUUUUCACACCGUGCACUUGGUCGCGCAUUGCGCGCGCAGAUAUCUCCUUUCGGGGUUGGCUUGUCAUUAAAUCGUUGUCGCAGGGCCUCAGUAGUCCUGGGUUUCUGCGACUGCGAGCCCCGUUUGGAGGCUGCGUGCGUGUGCGUGGUUUUUCACCGCACCCUCGUUCGCGAGGGUGCAUUUCGUUUCUUUAAAUCAAGCAAAUUUGCAGACUGAACUGUUGGGCUUUCUUCUGAAAGCUUGUCUAAAUGAUGAAAUCAUGGACAACUUUCAACGGUGGAUCUCUUGGCUCGUGGAUCGAUGAAGAACGCAGCAAAACGCGAUAUGUAGUGUGAAUUGCAGAAUUCAGUGAAUCAUCGAAUUUUUGAACGCAAAUGGCGCUCCUGGGUAUUCCCAGGAGCAUGUCUGUCUCAGUGUCGUUUUCACCUCGAACGCGCUACGGCGCGGUGGUCUUGAGGCGUCUGAGAGAGACGGCUCGGUGAGCUCGCUCGCUGGUCGUUCCUUUCAGUCCCUUGAAAUGCAGUGGCCGAACGUUGUGCUGCAGCAUGGCCUCGGGUCGGUUCGCCCCGGAUCUGCUCGCACGGCUGAUCAGUUGUCUGUCGUCGUGUCGCAGCUGCCUGGGUGCACCAGACAUUCGUGCCAGCUCAAACGUUCGAAUCAAGCCAACUCUGGAAAACGACUGCGUGUUGAUCACUUUGUGGCACGCGCGCGCAACACCUUCGACCUGAGAUCAGGCAAGACUACCCGCUGA
rnacentral:rRNA from 1 species